rnacentral:rRNA from 1 species
AAGUAGGUCCCAAGGGUAUGGCUGUUCGCCAUUUAAAGUGGUACGCGAGCUGGGUUUAGAACGUCGUGAGACAGUUCGGUCCCUAUCUGCCGUGGGCGCUGGAGAACUGAGGGGGGCUGCUCCUAGUACGAGAGGACCGGAGUGGACGCAUCACUGGUGUUCGGGUUGUCAUGCCAAUGGCACUGCCCGGUAGCUAAAUGCGGAAGAGAUAAGUGCUGAAAGCAUCUAAGCACGAAACUUGCCCCGAGAUGAGUUCUCCCUGACUCCUUGAGAGUCCUGAAGGAACGUUGAAGACGACGACGUUGAUAGGCCGGGUGUGUAAGCGCAGCGAUGCGUUGAGCUAACCGGUACUAAUGAACCGUGAGGCUUAACCUUACAACGCCGAAG